rnacentral:rRNA from 1 species
UACGUAGGGCGCAAGCGUUGUCCGGAAUUAUUGGGCGUAAAGAGCUCGUAGGCGGCUUGUCGCGUCGGUUGUGAAAGCCCGGGGCUUAACCCCGGGUCUGCAGUCGAUACGGGCAGGCUAGAGUUCGGUAGGGGAGAUCGGAAUUCCUGGUGUGGCGGUGAAAUGCGCAGAUAUCAGGAGGAACACCGGUGGCGAAGGCGGGUCUCUGGGCCGAUACUGACGCUGAGGAGCGAAAGCGUGGGGAGCGAACAGG